AAAGAUUAAGCCAUGCAUGUCUAAGCACAAACCUUUACACGGUGAAGCUGCGAAUGGCUCAUUAGGCCACCCAUGAUUUAUUAGAUUGUACAAUCCUACUUGGAUAACUGUGGUAAUUCUAGAGCUAAUACAUGCAAGUAAGCUCCGACCCCUCGGGGGAAGAGCGCGUUUAUUAGACCAAAACCAAUCGGGUUUUCGGAUCCGUACGUUUGGUGACUCUGGAUAACUUCGAGCUGAUCGCACGGCCUCGAGCUUGCGACGUAUCUUUCAAGUGUGUGCCCUAUCAACUGUCGAUGGUAAGUGAUAUGCUUACCAUGGUGG
rnacentral:rRNA from 1 species